rnacentral:misc_RNA from 1 species
AUACGGGACACUAGCGUCGAGUUCAUGCCGCAACCGAACCAAGCAGAAGCUGUCAGGCGACCCCGGCUCAUCUGGCCGGCGUUAAGCGGCGUUGCCCUUGCCGCACUGCUCGCCGCGGCCGCGUUUCUGAUGUCCUAUAAAGUCGAGCAGCCGCCCGAUAACGCCAAGGUCAUCGCCGACGAUCUGCGGAUGACUUACGCCAGCAC